UGCUGAAGCAGCAAGAGAGAAUUCUUCAGGGAAACGAUAGGAUGUUUUGAUUAAACCAGUUGAAGAACAAAUGUCUCUUGCUAAGGAAGGUUGAGGGGAAUUGUUUCAGCUCAGUGUUCUUCUCCCUCCUCCCUUCGGCUUCUGCUAAAAAUCUGGAGGUUGCUCGAAGUGAUGGGGAAGUCAUACUGCAAUAUAUGGACAGACAGAGAUAACAUGGAGAUGUGUUUUUUCAAAAAGAACUGCGGAAGACAUGAAGAAGUGUGGAUGGAAACGUGGGAAAACCAUGACCCAAGGGCACGAACAGCAUGUGGACAGGGUUCAGCUUUUCAUCUGUCCCUCUCUGCAGAUGUAUAUUCUCUCCAUGUGUAGUGCUCCAAAAGAUCUGCACAAGAUUUUUUGUUCCAAUUGUUUAUAGAAACAGACAAGAGCUGUGGAGAACCUCUCCUCUGAAAGAAUGGCAUCAUGAAGCAUCAUCAUGAAGCAUCUUCAUUACUUUUAAACACUCAGUAUAAUCCUCACCAGAAUCUCCUGACUCAUCCUUGAAAGACUCUCUGCGUUGUUAGUGUACUUCAGUCUAAUUUAUUAUGUAAUUACAUGCCUACACAUAAAGUAUACCUGUAUUUAGCUGUGAUUCAGCAGUGAUGUAGACUUUGUAAAGUCAUAAAGACUGUAAAGUCAUAGAAAUACUACUUUUUACCUAAGAAAUAUAUACCAAAGUUACCCAUUGUCUGUUCAAGAUUGACAGUAGUGAUUUUAAGAGCGUCCCCAUUGCUUUCUGUAUCAUUUAUUUGUGAACAUGAACAUUUUUAAAAUACGAACAGUAACUAACUGUUCACUACUAGAGAAAUAUUAAUGAAAUACUCUGCAUUAAUGGGGUAAUAAAUUUACCCUUCAGGAUUUUUUUCAUUAUUCCUACCUAUCUACUUAAUAUUUUUUAAAUGCGUUUUAGUUGAAGGCUGCUCAUAAAUAUUUCCAAGUAAUACUUCAAUGUUGAGCUGCCUCGGAUACCUAAACAAAAAGGAAACCAGAAGAAUACAAGGGUUUUGACUUCAUAUGAUUACAUUUUUAACUACUUCUGUAAAUAAAAAAUAACAUAUAAAUGUACAGUAUCUAAGAUACAACUACACCUGAGUGUGUGCUUUCCCUAAAGUAUCCAUCUAGGAAAAAUUCAGUGCUAUAGGAAGGCAGUUAAUGGCGUACAAAAAUAAACUGAUGGUAGAAGAAAGAACUUACAAUGCAAAAAUGACAUGUAUAAUUGGCUGCUUGAAAAUAAGUGUCUGAAUCAAAUCUUACACUUUUUAAAAGAAGUAAUGAAAAUCCAAUGUUAAUCUUGCUAUAAAAACUGAGUAUGUAUUUCCUUGGAUAAUGGAGAAAUAUCCUGGGAUUCUUCUUGAGUUUAAAAAGCAAUGAUACAAAAGAAUAACUUUAUAUGCAGUGCUUUUAGCUGCCAGAGAUCAAGAUGGGAGCACUAAAAUUGUCAGAGCUCACAGGUACUAUCUUAUGAAAGAAAGGUUAUUUUUCAUUUCAAGUUCUGAGUCAUCUAGUGCAAGUUCAAAGAAUGAAAUUCAAUGUUCUUAAAGCACGUUCUAGGAAAUGCUGACAUUGCAUUGUAAUUUCCCAUCAAACUUCAGAUUAAUUAUGUCAAAAUCAUAUUUAGAAUCUAUUACUUUAAGGAAACCACAUGUUUAUAAAAUAAGAUUCAAGGUGCAAACCCUGCUACAAAUAUAGUUAGUGAAGAUGAAUCUGAUGGCUGAAUUUUUGUGACCUUUUUGCUAAUGUUUAUUCUUACUUACAGUUAUUUACUCCAGACAUGUUGGAAAGAGUAAAACAUAUCAUGCUGAUAAAGGCUGAAGCCUCAUUGCUGCCUCUGCAUUUUGAUGGAAAUCAAGAACUUGGCAAGGAAAGAUUCAACCAAACCCUCAGUAGCUGCUCCCCUGAUUUAAGUAUUAGUGUUGGUCAUAAGGCACAACACUGUGUUCAAAAAGGAGUCUACCUUGGCAUGAGAUGCCUGGGGUUUUUCUGCUCUCUUUGGUCUGAAGUUAAUCACAAUCUCUGUUUAAAUGCUACUAUUUUUCAUAAUACAUUGUGAAAAUGAGGGGGUUACAGCUUCCGGAAACCUUGACUAAGUGCUUUCUGGGCUUUUAAAGAUAAGAAUUUUCUCUGAAUUCAUGUGUGCUUUAGGCCACACUGGGGACCUUACAGCGUUCUGGCUUGGGGUAUUGUGACACCAUCCCAUGUGUAAAGGCAAGAGAAACAGUUCCCUGAAAUGGAAUCCAGACAGGGUGAACUGUCAGCUCCAAGAGGAACUUAUUUUUAAGGUUCUGAACUUAAGAGGCAUCUGCUCUUUUCAAACAAAACUCUCCAGCUUGUUUUGGGGUGCUUGUUCUGUGACUGUCUACACUGAAUAAAUGUCAGACCAUUCUUUUCCCACACAACCACCUCUAGAGUUUGAAGUGAAAGCAGAAUCAGCUUUCCUCCACCAGCUGAGCAGAUGAAUUUUGAACAGUAUUAAUUAAUUAGCAGAUUCCACUCUGCUAUUCACAUGACAUAGCUAUUGUUCAGGUCUUUCCUGAUCCAAUGAACAUAGAUUCUACCUAAUGAACAAAAAUAAAGCCAUUGCUCCUAAAAUUGAAUAACUUUUCCUAAGGCAAUAUCAUUAUUACAUGCAGCUGUGCAAAAUAAUUUCUCUUAACAAGAUGUAUUUGUGUGGCAAGGUUUUAGUAGCAGGAGGGCUGCAAGGUGACUUCUGUGAGAAGCUGCUAGAAGCUUCCACUGUGUCGAAUAGAGCUAAUGCCAGCCAGCUCCAAAACAGACCCACUGCUGGCCAAGGCUCUCUAUCAGCCUCGGUAAUUCAUGAUAAUGAUUUUGCAAUAACAUAUUUAAGAAGGAGGCUGCUGGGAUAGGGGACCAGUGUGCAAGGGGAGAGUGAUAAUGUGAGAGAAGGAGGAAGGAACGGCAGAAACAACAUGUGACAAACUGACUGCAACUGUCAUCCCUGUUCCCCUGCUAGAGGGGAGGAAGUAGAGAAAAUCAGGAAAGUUCAGGAAGAAUGGAGGUGUGGGUGGAAGUUUUUUUAUGAGAUUUGGUUUUAUUUCUAAUUAUUCUGCUCUGAUUUGAUUUGUAAUAAAUUAACUCAAUUCCUCCAAGUCAAGUCUGUUUUGCCUGUGAUGGUAAUUGUUGAGUGAUUUCUCCCUGUCCCUGUCUCGACAUGUGAGCCUUUUUUUUUCUCUCCCCUGUUCAGCAGAGGAGGGGGAGUGUAAGAGCACCUUAGUUGUUCAGCUGACAUCCAGCCAGGGUCAACCCACCACACAAGAACUACUAGAAAGUUUAGUCUUUUGCUAACUGUGACAUUAUGUUGUAAACUGUAUAAUUUUCUGGAAGAAAGUUGGGAAAGUACAUACCGUGUUUCUUGUAAUGCUGCACCAUCCCUAAUUUUAGUAAAAAGUUGUCUGAGAGCCCUGAAGAUAGAAAACUUCUGUUUGAUUUUACUUGUUGUUUGUUUUUAUUGAACAAUACAUAGCAUACACAGAGUAUCCUGUUAGUUAAGCUAGAACUGUGGUAGAGAACACGACACUUUAUUCUUGAUGAAAAGAGAAACUAGGCUGGGUCAUCUACUUACAGCAAACAUCAUACCUACCUGACUCACUUAUCUUGCAGGAAUCACUCAACAAGUGUCUUAUAUAAACUGUAUCCCAGUACAGGGUGAGCUGAAGUUUCUAUUCUAAGAGGCUACUGAAAUUACAAAAUAAAGAAUGACGGGCUUAAAUAUGAAAAGCUUUCAGCACCUUAAAAUUUGUACUUCUAGUCAAAUUUUGAGAAGUCAAUAAUUUUCAAGUAAUCAGCACAAUAUUUAAUGUGUUCAUAACAUUUUAAUAAUUUUCUCAAAGUAUUAAGAAUAGCCAUCUUAAAAGUUGAACAUAAAACCUUCAACAAGAAGACUGCGUGUUAGAAAAUGGAUCUCAGCAUUAUUUUUGUAGUCUAUGAUACCAUAAAAAAUCAC